AGUUCCGAUUCACACUGAGAUGAUUAUAUACAAAUUGUUAUUUUUAAUUAUGGGUGUAUGUACCCAGGCAUGCCCCAAAUUCUGCCAGGACUUGCAAUACGAUUCAGGAAUGCCAGCCAUAUCUAAAAUUGCCACAUUUCCACUUAAAACUGUACAAAUGCCAUUCGAUCUACUUGGAAUGGCAAUGGGGUGAAAUAAAUGGUUAAUUGAUA